UACGUAGGUCCCGAGCGUUGUCCGGAUUUAUUGGGCGUAAAGCGAGCACAGGUGGUUUAUUAAGUCUGGUGUAAAAGGCAGUGGCUCAACCAUUGUAUGCAUUGGAAACUGGUAGACUUGAGCGCAGGAGAGGAGAGUGGAAUUCCAUGUGUAGCGGUGAAAUGCGUAGAUAUAUGGAGGAACACCGGUGGCGAAAGCGGCUCUCUGGCCUGUAACUGACACUGAGGCUCGAAAGCGUGGGGAGCAAACAGG
rnacentral:rRNA from 1 species